GUGCUUUUAGCUCAGUUGGUAGAGCAUCUGGUUGAAGCCCAGAGUGCCUAAGUUCAAUUCUUAGAAAGCACA
rnacentral:tRNA from 3 species